rnacentral:tRNA from 1 species
GCUGGGAUAGCUCAGUUGGUUAGAGCGCCUGAUUGUGGUUCAGGAGGUCAUAGGUUCGAAUCCUAUUCUCAGUA